rnacentral:rRNA from 1 species
GCCUUGGCGGCGAAGGGGGAAACCGCCGGUGUCCUGGCUGCCCUGCGACGGUCGUGUAGCAGAGGGGCCCCUGCGGCCUCCCUCUCGCGGCGUGCAAAAGGUCGGUGACCCACCCGACCCGUCUUGAAACACGGACCAAGGAGUCUAACAUGUGUGCGAGUCAUUGGGCGCACUAAACCCAAAGGCGCAAUGAAAGUGAAAGGAGUGGUGUCUCCAGUCUCUCCGGAGGCUGGUGCCUGCUCCGGGGCCGAUCCCUGACCGAGCGAGAGUGUGUGGCCGUGGUUUGCCCGUGACGGCGUUUGGCCUUGUGGCGGCGCGGUGCGGGGUGAGACCCUUUCCCCCGCACGCGUGGCUGGCCUCGCUGGGCUCCCGGCUCGCUCUCUGGUCUUCGCCUGUACGCAGGGGGGCGCAGGCCCGGGACUUGGCAUUUGACGCACGCGCGCGAAUCUGUUGUUGGCCUCGCCGACUUUGCUUGGGCUCUCGGUUGGCGUGCCGCGUGUCUUUGGGCGGGUGGCGUUGCGGUGUGUGGGGCUACUCGUUAGUCCCUCCCCGCGCGCCGCUCGUCCGGCGCGGUGACGCUCUCCGAUCCUGCUCUGCUCGGCGUGGCCUAGCGCGCGUGGUGUCGGCAAGUACCAUGAGCAGACAUGUUGGGACCCGAAAGAUGGUGAACUAUGCCUGGCCAGGAUGAAGCCAGAGGAAACUCUGGUGGAGGUCCGCAGCAAUUCUGACGUGCAAAUCGAUUGUCAGAGCUGGGUAUAGGGGCGAAAGACUA